rnacentral:rRNA from 1 species
GACGAACGCUGGCGGCGUGCCUAAUACAUGCAAGUCGAGCGAUGAAGAUUGGUGCUUGCCCCAAUUUGAAGAGCAGCGGACGGGUGAGUAACGCGUGGGGAAUCUGCCUUUGAGCGGGGGACAACAUUUGGAAACGAAUGCUAAUACCGCAUAACAACUUUAAACAUAAGUUUUAAGUUUGAAAGAUGCAAUUGCAUCACUCAAAGAUGAUCCCGCGUUGUAUUAGCUAGUUGGUGAGGUAAAGGCUCACCAAGGCGAUGAUACAUAGCCGACCUGAGAGGGUGAACGGCCACAAUGGGACUGAGACACGGCCCAAACUCCUACGGGAGGCAGCAGGAGGGGAUCUUCGGCAAUGGACGAAAGGCUGACCGAGCAACGCCGGGGGAGUGAAGAAGGGUUUCGGAUCGUAAAACUCUGUUGGUAGGGAAGAACGGUGGUGAGAGUGGAAAGCUCAUCAAGUGACGGUAACUACACAGAAAGGGACGGCUAACUACGUG